rnacentral:rRNA from 1 species
AUUGAACGCUGGCGGCAGGCUUAACACAUGCAAGUCGAGCGGAGAGAGGUAGCUUGCUACUGAUCUUAGCGGCGGACGGGUGAGUAAUGCUUAGGAAUCUGCCUAUUAGUGGGGGACAACAUUUCGAAAGGAAUGCUAAUACCGCAUACGUCCUACGGGAGAAAGCAGGGGAUCUUCGGACCUUGCGCUAAUAGAUGAGCCUAAGUCGGUUUAGCUAGUUGGUGGGGUAAAGGCCUACCAAGGCGACGAUCUGUAGCGGGUCUGAGAGGAUGAUCCGCCACACUGGGACUGAGACACGGCCCAGACUCCUACGGGAGGCAGCAGUGGGGAAUAUUGGACAAUGGGCGGAAGCCUGAUCCAGCCAUGCCGCGUGUGUGAAGAAGGCCUUAUGGUUGUAAAGCACUUUAAGCGAGGAGGAGGCUACUUUAGUUAAUACCUAGAGAUAGUGGACGUUACUCGCAGAAUAAGCACCGGCUAACUACGUGCCAGCAGCCGCCGUAA